UACGUAGGGUGCGAGCGUUAAUCGGAAUUACUGGGCGUAAAGGGUGCGCAGGCGGCGUCGCAAGUCAGACGUGAAAUCCCUCGGCUUAACCGGGGAACUGCGUCUGAUACUGGAUGGCUUGAGGUUGGGAGAGGGAUGCGGAAUUCCAGGUGUAGCGGUGAAAUGCGUAGAUAUCAGGAAGAACACCCGUGGCGAAGGCGGCUCUCUGGAACGCAACUGACGCUGAGACGCGAAAGCGUGGGGAGCAAACAGG
rnacentral:rRNA from 1 species